GAUGAAGAACGCAGCGAAAUGCGAUACGUAAUGUGAAUUGCAGAAUUCAGUGAAUCAUCGAAUCUUUGAACGCACAUUGCGCCUGCCAGCACUCUGGCAGGCAUGCCUGUACGAGCGUCAUUUCAACCAUCAAGCCCUAGGCUUGCGUUGGAGCCCUGCGGCUGCCGCAGGCCCCUAAAAGCAGUGGCGGGCUCGCUAUCACACCGAGUGCAGUAGAUUACUCUUCGCUCAGGGCGUGUGGCGGGUUCCAGCCGUGAAACCCCCUACUUCUCAAGGUUGACCUCGGAUCAGGUAGGAAUACCCGCUGAACUUAAGCAUAUCAAUAAGCGGAGGA
rnacentral:misc_RNA from 1 species